GCCCUCAGGCCUCGUCCAGAGUGAAUACUUCCGGCUUCCCUCCUCCCACAAGAUGGCCGCCCGGCUGGGGUUUGCCAGUGUUGCUCUCCUCCGCCUCCGCUCAGCAUCUGGGAGGCCUGUCAUCCUCUUGGUUAACCUCAGCCUCCAGUAAUCCUGUCAAUUCUCCUCUUGGUGUGUGUGCUUUGACAAGCACCGAAGAGGCUAUUUUUCCCCUCUCCCUUUCAAGCUGGUACUGAAACACUCACACAAAAACAAUGAGAGGAGGUGGAGCCUGAUCAUCUCACCUGACUAUCGAUCUUGUUAUUGAGCACAGGUAAACGUGAACCCAGCCAGUCUGAGUUGCGCUUCCCUGCAAGCCUCGUGAGUCCCUGCAGCCACAGUUUGCAGUUCCGUCCUGAGCAGACGGAUGGCAUUACUUAGGAGUGGCAAACUCAGUCUGGGGACCUCUUUAGUAGUUCUACACAUCUUAGGCCAGGAGCUGGAACGUGCCCAGGACCCAGGUGAACGGGCCGUCUGUCUGCCUGGAAAACUUGUCAGCUCUAGUGGAGCAUCCACUGAGGAUUCCUGCAUGGUGUAUAUCCUGUAUAUCUUGGCUUCAGGUAGCUCGUAUAUACUCUUCAGGACUGCUGGGGAGGGGAGCUAAAAAUAUCUUAAGGCAUAUUGUGUUUGCUUAAUUUCUGUGGUUGACAUGAAGGAUUACAAAGACCGUGGUGACUUUAAACAUAUGCUCUUACUGUCUUUCUUACAGCUCUGCAUGUUAGCGCCCCACAUCUGGGUUAAAGUCAAUGUCUGAGCAGGGCAGCGUUCUUCUGAAGGUUUUAGGGAAGCAUUCCAGCCCAGGUUCUAGCCACCCACGUGUGGGAAGAGGCCUGUGACCCUCUUCCUCAAUUUUCAAAACCAGCCAGGUUGUAGCUCUCUGGUCUUUCUUCCAUGGAAUGGUUGUGGUUUCGAUGUUUUCUCCACUUUCAGUGAUUAGGUUGGGUUCACCUGGGUCAUCCCAAACACUCUCUCCAUCUCAAGGCUCCGGAUUUAAUCACUCCUCUUCUUUGAGAACGCUCCGUUCUUCUGAGUCACUUUGUCGUGUCCAUCACAAGCUCUGGAGACAUCACACAAGCACAGUGGGCUCUGGCCUCGUAAGCUCUUUCCUGUCUCCACCUGUCUGUUUCUCCCACGACUUCUCUUCCUCUGAUGAAUCUAGUAAAGUUGAUCAUACUUCGGUUUAUGUGUCUUUUUUUUUCACUCCUUAGGGUGGGACCUCCAACCUCCUUACUUAGUUGUUGAAAGGAAUCAGACAUCUCCAGCUGCCCUUUUAUCAAUGUCUCACCUCUCAUUGCUUGGUGUUCAGAAGCUCAAAGCAGGACGUUAAUUCAAGCUUACCGCCAGCCACAUUUGUACUGCAUAGCUUUUUCACACUUGAACAUUUCUGGUCUUAAUCUCUUUCUGUCCACAGUUUUUCAUUAUGACAUUUGAGAUACUCUAAACUUGUGAAACUCCAUGUUAUCUCCUGUUUCUUAACUUGAAAUUAACAAUACCUUAUUGCCUAGCUGUGAUAAUUGAAAGUCACUAAUCUACUAUGUCUAACUGGGUAUAUGAUAGAGACAGGCAUGCAGGAAAUGAGGGCCUCUCCAUCAUUUUGUCCCCACCGACCCCUGCAUCCUGAGAAAUGGCCUUCCUACACAUCUGAAUCUUCCUCACUUCUUCUGGAAACCAUCUUUGGCUUUCCUCUCGCCGUCCCAGACUUCUUCCUGCCCACAGCUGCCUCUUCCUUCUUUGAGAGCCUCUCCCUUUCCAUCUGCACUCCUCUUUCCAAUCGUCCUCAUCUUCCUCACCAGGGACAUCAGAAGAACCUCAGCGAGUCUGUGUGAACUGUGGCCUCACUUCCAGCAGCUCCCACCCGUGUCCCCUGCAGGGUUGCCCUCUGGGAUGCCCAGAAGUUUCAUGUCCACAAACUGACUCAGUCGGUUCUACCAUGGCCACUGAGAAGAGCGGUGCCCUCACUCUCCCUUUCUUGUUCUAAUCCAGGACCUCCUCCACGCCGAGCGAUCAGCCACACGUUCUCCCGAGGCAUCCUCUCCUCACAGACAUUUAGUCUUUCUCUUUUCAGUAUCCUUCCAGUUUUACAUGCUGUCUUCCAGGCCUGGUUACAGACAUUGUGGUGAGCUAUUCCACUUCAUUCCUCCUAAGUGUGAGAUCAUCUGUUGGACUAGGAUUGUAUACACCUUCAAGUAAAUAUCUGUUUUGUCUGUAACAUUUUGGGUUGACUCUUACCCAGAUUUGCCUGUGGGUGGACUCAACUUCCCCAUGCCCUGUUCCUUUGUUUCACUUUCAGUGUGGAAAUGCUGGCCAGACAGCUGUAGGGAAGCCUCCCACUUGACAUCUCCCUUUCUGAUGAUCCAGACCUUUGACAUCCUCUCUUCCUACUGCCAGCCUUCUCGCUACAGACCUAAUCAGUCUUCACCAAGUCCCCUGUCUGCUCAUUCCAUAUUGUUCUUCAGCGACAGCUGAAUAUUUAAUUUCAAACUCUAACAGAACUAAAAGUCCAGGGUCAGAUAGGUGUUAGGGUUAUAUUUGUUUUCCUUUCCAUUUUUUUGGCAUGUAUGUGUGCAUGUAUGUCCAUGUGCAUGUAUAGUCUGCAGGUGAUGUUAGGAAUAAUCCUCAAUUACUCUUCUACCUCAUUAAUUAAAAUAAGGUACCUCAGUUAAACCCAGAAAUCACCAAUGUGUCUAGUCUUGCGAGGCAGCUUGCUGCAGGGAUCCCCUAUCUGCAGAGGCUGGAAUUACAGACAGGGCACCACAAUCAUCCAGUUGGGAUCCAGACUCCAGGCCUCAUACUUGUAUGGUGACCACUUUAACCACUGAGGCAGCUCAGCCCCGAGGUUGUGUUUUAGUUUUGUUUCUGUUGUAGGUGUUUAUUUAUAAUUCUAGGUUUUAAUCUACCACGAAGGGGAAGUCAGGGCAGGAACUUGAAACAGCCAGUCACAUCCAGCAGUCAAGAGCAGAGAGAGAAUUAAUGCAUGAGUGCCUACUACUCAGCUCACUUUCUCCACUCAUAAUAUUGUAGGACUGGAGUCUGGGGGAUGGUGAUGCCCACAGUGGACUGGGUUUCCCCACGCCAAUCAACAUGAUCAUGACAGGCCCCCACAGGCACAGCCACAGGCCAACCUGAUCUGGCCAAUCCCUCCCUAAGAUCCUCUUCUCGGGUGAUUCUAGACUGUGUCAAGUUGACAAAGCUAAACAUCUUAGGGCUGGAGAGAUGAUUCCGUGGUUUGGAGCACUUGUUGCUCUCACAGAGGGCACGGGUUCGAUUCUCGGCAUCUACAUGGCAGUUCACAACCAGCCUUACUUCAGUUCCAGAGCAUCCACUGCCCUUGACCUUGGUGGACACCAGGCACAAACGUGGUACACGUAAAUGCAAGCAAAACAUUCA